CGACCGGCGCACGGGUGAGUAACACGUAUGGAACCUGCCCGCAGCAGGGGGAUAAGCGGAAGAAAUUCCGUCUAAUACCGCGUAACACCGCAGAGGGGCAUCCCUCGGCGGUUAAAGAUUCAUCGGCUGCGGAUGGCCAUGCGGCGCAUUAGCUAGUCGGCGGGGUAACGGCCCACCGAGGCGACGAUGCGUAGGGGUUCUGAGAGGAAGGUCCCCACACUGGUACUGAGACACGGACCAGACUCCUACGGGAGGCAGCAG
rnacentral:rRNA from 1 species